rnacentral:rRNA from 1 species
AGCUUGCUGGGGUGGAUGAGUGGCGAACGGGUGAGUAACACGUGAGUAACCUUCCCUUGACUCUGGGAUAAGCCUGGGAAACCGGGUCUAAUACCGGAUGCGACCGUCCACCGCAUGGUGGUCGGUGGAAAGAUUUAUCGGUCUUGGAUGGACUCGCGGCCUAUCAGCUUGUUGGUGGGGUAAUGGCCCACCAAGGCGACGACGGGUAGCCGGCCUGAGAGGGUGACCGGCCACACUGGGACUGAGACACGGCCCAGACUCCUACGGGAGGCAGCAGUGGGGAAUAUUGCACAAUGGGCGCAAGCCUGAUGCAGCGACGCCGCGUGAGGGAUGACGGCCUUCGGGUUGUAAACCUCUUUCAGUAGGGAAGAAGCGAAAGUGACGGUACCUGCAGAAGAAGCGCCGGCUAACUACGUGCCAGCAGCCGCGGUAAUACGUAGGGCGCGAGCGUUAUCCGGAAUUAUUGGGCGUAAAGAGCUCGUAGGCGGUUUGUCGCGUCUGCCGUGAAAGUCCGGGGCUUAACCCCGGAUCUGCGGUGGGUACGGGCAGACUGGAGUGCAGUAGGGGAGACUGGAAUUCCUGGUGUAGCGGUGAAAUGCGCAGAUAUCAGGAGGAACACCGAUGGCGAAGGCAGGUCUCUGGGCUGUUACUGACGCUGAGGAGCGAAAGCAUGGGGAGCGAACAGGAUUAGAUACCCUGGUAGUCCAUGCCGUAAACGUUGGGCACUAGGUGUGGGGGCCAUUCCACGGUUUCCGCGCCGCAGCUAACGCAUUAAGUGCCCCGCCUGGGGAGUACGGCCGCAAGGCUAAAACUCAAAGGAAUUGACGGGGGCCCGCACAAGCGGCGGAGCAUGCGGAUUAAUUCGAUGCAACGCGAAGAACCUUACCAAGGCUUGACAUGUUCCCGACCGCCACAGAGAUGUGGUUUCCCCUUUGGGGCGGGUUCACAGGUGGUGCAUGGUUGUCGUCAGCUCGUGUCGUGAGAUGUUGGGUUAAGUCCCGCAACGAGCGCAACCCUCGUUCCAUGUUGCCAGCGGGUUAUGCCGGGGACUCAUGGGAGACUGCCGGGGUCAACUCGGAGGAAGGUGGGGACGACGUCAAAUCAUCAUGCCCCUUAUGUCUUGGGCUUCACGCAUGCUACAAUGGCCGGUACAAUGGGUUGCGAUACUGUGAGGUGGAGCUAAUCCCAAAAA